GUUUUUUUUUCUGACGUCAUGACGCACGAGCCUGACUGGAACUUCUGCUCAACCGCCAUUUUCUUUUUCUCUCGCACUCGGAUGAAUAAGACGGCAGGAGGUAGUGAACCAGGAGCCCAGUGUUAGGGAUUUCAAGGCGAGGUGGCCUGCGCUUUUCAGACAUUACGAGAUCAAUGCAGAGUUCCAUAGGCUUAUGGCUGUUCCACUAGAAGACACGUUCCUUGCCCAGUUAGAUGUGCACAUGAGUCAACUAAUUAGAGUAAUCCGUUUAAAAGGAGGAGCAACCCGUGAGAAGACUGCAGAAAUUCUUCAGAUUUUGGAUCAGGUACGUCUGUGUGUUUUAC